rnacentral:lncRNA from 1 species
AAUUAAAAUUUUAUUAAUUAUAGCAAGUAGAAUAUGAGCAAAAACAGCGCUGGACGACAGGGGAGUCUGCGCUCCGCCACUGCCGUGCUGAGCAGUUCAAACAGUCCCUUUUUAUACAUCUUUACUUCCGUGUUCAUGAAGUAGUGGAGGUACUCUGCGCAUGCUUCAGUUGUUGUUAGGGGAUCGUUUUCUACCUCCUGGUGGUCGUUGAGGCCGAAAUAAGAAGUCUUUCUCCUUUAUCCCAUAGUUGACCCCUCAUUCACAUGUCCUUAUCUGGGGUUGUUUGUCCUGUUUCUGUCGGUUCCUGGAAGUCUGGCGGUUAUCUCGCGAUUGUGGUUAUCUUAUCUUACUCAAGCAGUGUCUGGGUUUCUGUUUGCAUAAGCGAUUUCACAUCUUUGUUGCCUAACCUUUACAUUGAGCUUAACAUAAAUCUUAAUAAACAAUAUCCUAGUCCAUAGUUUCUCACAUCUUCUCCAUGUAGUUCCUUGCAACAAGAGAAUUUCUAUAUUUUUUGUAGCCACUCAGUAGGUUGUUACUCUUGUGAGAAACUAUGGACUAGGAUAUUGUUUAUUAAGAUUUAUGUUAAGCUCAAUGUAAAGGUUAGGCAACAAAAGAUGUGAAAUCGCUUAUGCAAACAGCUACCAGACACCGCUUGACUAAAAUAAGAUAACCACAAUCGCGAGAUAACCGCCAGACUUCCAGGAACCGACAGAAACAGGACAAACAACCCCAUAUAAGGACAUAUGAAUGAGGGGUCAACUAUGGGACAAAGGAGGAAGACUUCUUACUUCGGCCUCAACGACCACCAGGAGGCAGAAAACGACCCCCUAACAACAACUGAAGCAUGCGCAGAGUACCUCCACUACUUCAUGAACACGGAAGUAAAGAUGUAUAAAAAGGGACUGUUUGAACUGCUCAGGACGGCAGUUGGCGGAGCGCAGACUCCCCUGUCGUCCAGCACUGUUUUUGCUCAUAUUCUACUUGCUAUAAUUAAUAAAAUUUUAAUU